UUCGCCCUUAGAGUUUGAUCCUGGCUCAGAAUAAACGUUGGCGGUGCGCCUUAUGCAUGCAAGUCGAACGGGGUUACGGUUUUCGGAUUGUAACCUAGUGGCAGACGGCUGAGUAACACGUAAGUAACCCGCCUUAGAGUGGGAAAUAACCUGCCGAAAGGCGAGCUGAUGUCCCAUGUGGUAGCGAAGCUUAGGCUUCGUUACUAAAGCUUUCGGGCGCUCUAAGAGGGGCUUGCGUCUGAUUAGCUAGUUGGUGGGGUAAUGGCCUACCAAGGCGAUGAUCAGUAGUUGGUCUGAGAGGAUGGCCAGCCAGAUGGGGACUGAGACACGGCCCCAACUCCUACGGGAGGCAGCAGCAAGGAAUUUUGGGCAAUGAGCGAAAGCUUGACCCAGCGACACCGCGUGAGGGAAUAAGGCCUUCGGGUUGUAAACCUCUUUUCCUGGGGAAGAAUUCUGACGGUACCCAGGGAAUAAGCCUCGGCCAACUACGCGCCAGCAGCCGCGGUAAUACGUAGGAGGCGAACGUUAUUCGGAUUUACUGGGCGUAAAGGGAGCGUAGGCGGUUCCUCAAGUCGAAUGUGAAAUCUUCUGACUCAAUCGGAAGGAGCCAUUUGAUACUGGGGGACUUGAGAGCAGCAGAGGGAAAUGGAAUCUCCAGUGUAGCGGUGAAAUGCGUAGAUAUUGGAGAGAACACCAGUGGCGAAAGCGAUUUCCCAGGCUGCUUCUGAUGCUGAGGUUCGAAAGCGUGGGGAGCGAAGCGGAUUAGAUACCCGCGUAGUCCACGCCCUAAACGGUGGACACUAGAUAUAGGAGGUAUCGACCCUUUCUGUGUCGAAGCUAACGCUUUAAGUGUCCCGCCUGGGGAGUACGGCCGCAAGGCUGAAACUCAAAGGAAUUGACGGGGGUCCGCACAAGCAGCGGAGCGUGUGGUUUAAUUCGAUGCUACACGAAGAACCUUACUAGGACUUGACAUGUCAGAAGUAGGAUUCCGAAAGGAGGACGACCUGUAUCCAGUCAGGAGCCAUCACAGGUGCUGCAUGGCUGUCGUCAGCUCGUGCCGUGAGGUGUUGGGUUAAGUCCCGCAACGAGCGCAACCCUCGUUGCCAGUUGUUUUCUCUGGCUAGACUGCCCCGCAAGACGGGGAGGAAGGUGAGGAUGACGUCAAGUCAGCAUGGCCCUUAUGCCUUGGGCUACACACACGCUACAAUGGGUGGUACAGAGGGUAGCAAAGGAGCAAUCCGGAGCCAAUCCCACAAAGCCAUCCUCAGUUCGGAUUGCAGGCUGAAACUCGCCUGCAUAAAGUUGGAGCUGCUAGUAACCGCAGAUCAGCAUGCUGCGGUGAAUACGUUCUCGGGCCUUGUACACACCGCCCGUCACGUCAUGGAAGUUGGCAAUACCUGAAAUCGAUGGGCUAACCCUUCGGGGAGGUAGUCGCCUAGGGUAGGGCUGGUGACUGGGACGAAGUCGUAACAAGGUAACC
rnacentral:rRNA from 1 species